GGGGAUGUAGCUCAGCGGUAGAGUGCUUGCCUAGCAAGCACAAGGCCCUGGGUUCGGUCCCCAGCUCCA
rnacentral:tRNA from 1 species